GAUGAACGCUAGCGGCAGGCUUAACACAUGCAAGUCGAGGGGCAGCAUAAACAUUGCUUGCAAUGUUUGAUGGCGACCGGCGCACGGGUGCGUAACGCGUAUGUAACCUACCUCAAACAGGGGCAUAACACUGAGAAAUUGGUACUAAUUCCCCAUAACACCUUGGGAGGCAUCUCCUGGGGUUGAAAGUUCCGGCGGUUUGAGAUGGACAUGCGUUGUAUUAGCUAGUUGGUGAGGUAACGGCUCACCAAGGCGACGAUACAUAGGGGGACUGAGAGGUUAACCCCCCACAUUGGUAACUGAGACACGGGACCAAACUCCUACGGGAGGCAGCAGUGACGGAUAUUGGUCAAUGGACGCAAGUCUGAACCAGCCAUGCCGCGUG
rnacentral:rRNA from 1 species